rnacentral:rRNA from 1 species
GCUCAGGACGAACGCUGGCGGCGCGCCUAACACAUGCAAGUCGAACGAGCGAGAGAGAGUUUACUUUUUCAAGCGAGUGGCGAACGGGUGAGUAACGCGUGAGGAACCUGCCUCAAAGAGGGGGACAACAGUUGGAAACGACUGCUAAUACCGCAUAAGCCCACGACCCGGCAUCGGGUAGAGGGAAAAGGGGCAAUCCGCUUUGAGAUGGCCUCGCGUCCGAUUAGCUAGUUGGUGAGGUAACGGCCCACCAAGGCGACGAUCGGUAGCCAGACUGAGAGGUUGAACGGCCACAUUGGGACUGAGACACGGCCCAGACUCCUACGGGAGGCAGCAGUA